rnacentral:lncRNA from 1 species
UUUUGGCUCCUAUCAGACCUUCAAAGAAGAGCUAAUACUAACACUCCUCAAACUAUUCCUUAAAAUAGAAAGAGAAGGAACACUACAUAAUUCAUUCUAUGAAGCUACAGUUACUCUGAUACCUGAACAACACAAAGACCCAACAAAGAAAGAGAACUUACUGGAUAUUUCUGAGUAGUCUAAGUUGAUAAUUUUAUUUAAAAUAGUGAAGAAAUUUAUUUUUUGAGGCAGGGUUUCUCUGUGGCUAUCAUGCAUAGACAAAACUGGCCUCAAACUCAGAGAUUUACCUGGUCUCUGCCUCCCAAGUCUGAGAUUCAAGGUGUGUACCACCAUUCAUGGCUAUAAUGAAUUAAUUUAAAGGAAAAAAUUAUUUUCUAGGUAAUUCCUGUUAAAAUAACAAACAAGCAACUGAACAAAAAAUAAAACAUGCUAGUCUUAGAAAAUUCAAAAAGUAUGAAAUAGUAGACAAAAUCAUUUUUCUAUCUUGAUUUAUACUUCCUUCUUCAAGGGGUACCGGUAGUAAGAGUUCCUCAUGUAUCUUCGCCCCUCCUCCACUAAAUUUAAUACAAAUUAUUUCCUCUUUUCAGUUUAUAUAUUAUAGUGUUUACUUUGCUUUUUAUUUUAUAUGCUUAUAUUUUUUCUAUAUUAACCAUGCAAAAUUUAUACUAUCUUUUAAAUUAUGGCAUUAUACUAAAUAAUGUAAUUAAUUAUCCAGACUGGAUAAACAUUCAUGUUUGUCUCUUUUCCCCAAAAUCUGUGAUAAUGAUUAUUUAUACAUAUAUUUUUUAGUUUUACAUUAUAAUAUUAUAUUGUAGUUAUUUAUAUAGGGUAAAUUUUAAACAGUAGAAUUCUAUGUGCCAAAAUGGAGCUCAUUUUUCUUUCACUAAUUAUUUCAGUAAUUACAAAAUUACUGUUAUAAAUUUGAUAAAUUUAACCAUCCAAGAGUGUGUGAAAGCUUUCUUCCCCAAAAUCAUAGCUCAUGCUGUUUUUCUAUUUUAUACAUAAAACAUAUCAUAUUUUAAUUUUAUAUGAGAUUUUACAUAUUUUAUGUUUUAUUUUUCCUAUGUGCUAUUAUUCCAUUUACUCCGAAUGUCUUGUUUUUAUUUGUUUUUUUGAAUGAUUAGAAUUGACAGUGUGCUAUUUUUUUGUUACUGCCUUUAAUGAAAACUUUUUUCAUGAAUUAAUAAAUUUUACAUCUUUCCAACUGCAUCAAAAACAAUAGUAUAGCUCGACUUGGUGUUAUACACCUUUAAUUCCAGGAGAAAUAGUUUGAUCACUCUAAGCUUGAUUCUAAUCUGGUCUACAUAGUGAGUUUCAGGCAAACUAGGGAUACUUAAUGAAAAUAGUCCAACACCCCUCUCCAAACAACAACAAACAACAAUAACAAAAAUAUCAACAUCAAAAACCAAACAACAUGAUACAAAACCCAAAACAAACAAAAAACAAAAGAUCAGACUUUUCAAAAAUACAUGUGAUCAUCUUUAUUUAGCAACAGAAAAGCAUUAUAAGAUCAUCUCCACAAGACUGGGGCAUAACUUUGCUUUUGUACGUUUAAAACACUGAUAAUGGAAUAAAAGUGCACCCAUCCCUGUUAAAUGGUAGAGACAUCUGUCCUCUCCUGGCUACAGGACACAUGUUCCUAGUUAGCAAGAAAGGAGGGUUGGUAGAUGAGAUAGCUGUGCCUUAAAUUAGUUAAAGUAAAUCUCUUUCAUUUAUUGCUGAGAAGUACUCCUUGGUCAGAUUUUGUUUUUAGUUUAUGAGUUUCUAUCUGUGGAUAUACGGACAAAUGUUUAGAUUGUUUUAAAGAACUGUGGUUGUUUAGUAAAUCCGAGAUCUAUGAUUUCACUAGUACUGAUCAGUUGGCCAAGUUUCCAAAACCAAGGCCAGUUUCCCUCUUGUUGAGCAGGUCUUAAUUCUAAUUAGAAAGCCCUUGGUUACUGCUAACGUAUGCAUGCCACUACUACACUCUUAGAGUUAUUGUUUGUUAGAGUUUCAUUGCUUUCAACCUUUAUAAUAAAAAUGAGAAUUGAAAUUUAAAUCUAUGUUUUGUCUUGACUAGUACAUCAUUUUUAGAAUUUUUUACUUUGUAGAUCACAUAAUGAUCCAUUUCUUUGAUUCAAAAAUAUACUUAUAAAUUUCCCAGCCUCAAAGAGCUACGAAGUGGUAGAAGGAAUCUUAGAAACACCUUUCCUUCUGUCAGAGUUAAUCAGAUAGGAUUUCAACAUGUUCUAAUAAAACGACUUGAAUAAUGUGCUCACCCUAAAUGACCAGUGUGUUGCUCUGUUCAUCCAUAAAGAAUAAAAGAGAUGAUCUGGUUAAUUAUUAGCAUGCUCUGCUAAUGCUAGCUAGGACCCAUGUCUAUUGCUACACUUUUAGAGUCUUAAGCAUGGCACAGCUGUUUAAAGUUCAUGGAGACAUCUGAUGAACAAUCAAAAUAGGCAUUUAAGAGAAAGGUAGGUACAUUUUGGCUGAGAUGCAGUACUUCACAGAAAGCAGAAUGUACUUACUGGAGAUUUAAAUUUUAGUGAGUUUUAAAGUGACAGAAGUGCCUUUGGUUUUUUGCCAUUGUCCAUCUAAAAAUAAUUCGGAUUAAUUAAUUAAUACAUCUGAUUUUUCAAAUGCAAUUUAAUUCUAAUAAAUAAUUUGCAUAUACUUUGCACUGUUUCUUUUGUUAGUAUUUUUGUGGGAUUAGUAGAUUUUUACUCUAAUAGUAAAAAUAAAAAUGAUAUUUUUGUUAUUUUUGACAAGCAAAACGAGCAAAGUUUUAGAUUUUGAAGUUACUAUUUUUGAUCUUAUCUACAUAAUAAAUGUUUGUGCAAAACAGCUGUUCUGUUUAAACCCCUAAAAGAAAUAUAUGAAGAGACUACUGAAAUAACAAAAUUACAAUGUCCCACUUAAAAAUAAGAAGUCUCUCUUAAAAAGAGCAUAGAAAGCGAGCACAACUCCCAAAGCUACGAGAUGGUCCAGGCAGUGUGCUUUAUUCGCUAUGCUUGCCAUUUCAAAUGUUUUCUACAAUUGAGUUCAAAAGGGCCAAGUAGGGAUUAGUAAAGAUGUUGAUAGUUAGAGGUAGCACAGAAAAGUGUUAGUACACCAAAACAAUCUUAUUGAUGCUACAAAAGCAUUUGGGCGUCAAGAUUAGUAUAUAGUCACAUCAACUGAACUCUUCAAUAGACUGCAAAUGCAAAGACCAUAUGAAUUAAGACAAACCAAAAAAUGUACAUGCAAGUAACAUUAUACAUGCUGAGCAGAUUAUAUUUGUCUUAAACGCGUUCUCACGACCGGCCAGGAAGGACGCAACAAACCGGAAUCUUCUGCGGCAAAAGCUUUAUUGCUUACAUCUUCAGGAGCCAGAGAGCAAGAGAGCAAGAGCCAGAGCAAGAGAGAGAAAAAGAACAAGAACAAGAAAGC